rnacentral:rRNA from 1 species
UACGUAGGUGGCAAGCGUUGUCCGGAUUUAUUGGGUUUAAAGGGUGCGUAGGCGGCCUAUUAAGUCAGUUCUGAAAUAUCCCGGCUUAACCGGGAGGGUGGGAUUGAUACUGAUGGGCUUGAGUGGACUCGAGGUAGGCGGAAUUGACGGUGUAGCGGUGAAAUGCUUAGAUAUCGUCAAGAACACCGAUAGUGUAGACAGCUUACUAGAUUCUAACUGACGCUGAGGCACGAAAGUGUGGGGAUCAAACAGG